rnacentral:rRNA from 1 species
ACUAUGCAAAUGAAAUUCUUUUGUAAUUGAAAUGAUAGAUGCUGGCUUAGUAAGUUGUACUUCUUUGGUCUAAAGCUUAUUAAAUCAGCCUGUAUAGCGGUGUUUUGAGAGAUUAUUUAAAACUUGUAAAUUUAUUUUUAAUUUCUGGUAAAAAAAUAACGUUCUGUUUUGCGUUUUUUUUGAUUGAUAUGGUUAGAGAAAAAUCUGUUUCUUGUUCUAAAAAACGUACUAUUUAUAAGUGGGGAUUUUUUAAGUUCGAUUUUUAGGAUAAGGGCGUUCAGUACAGAUGACAAAGGUGUAAUUUUUACUGUUGUUAAGCAGUUUGAAAGCCUGUAUAGUAUUUAUUUGUUGAGGCAAACAAAACAACUCAACUUAAGAAAUAACUUGAAUUACUAACGAAAAUUAAUUUUAAAAAGUUAUUGACUUAAAUGUUAAUAAAAUGUAUAAUUAAUUCUUGUCGGUAAGAAAAAUGAACAUUGAAAACUGAAUGACAAUAUGUCAACGUUAAUUCCAAAAAACGUAACUAUAAGUUACAAACAUUAUUUAGUAUUUAUGAGCUAAUCAAACAUCAUAAUUUUUAUGGAGAGUUUGAUCCUGGCUCAGGAUGAACGCUGGCGGCGUGCCUAAUACAUGCAAGUCGAGCGAACGGACGAGAAGCUUGCUUCUCUGAUGUUAGCGGCGGACGGGUGAGUAACACGUGGAUAACCUACCUAUAAGACUGGGAUAACUUCGGGAAACCGUAGCUAAUACCGGAUAAUAUUUUGAACCGCAUGGUUCAAAAGUGAAAGACGGUCUUGCUGUCACUUAUAGAUGGAUCCGCGCUGCAUUAGCUAGUUGGUAAGGUAACGGCUUACCAAGGCAACGAUGCAUAGCCGACCUGAGAGGGUGAUCGGCCACACUGGAACUGAGACACGGUCCAGACUCCUACGGGAGGCAGCAGUAGGGAAUCUUCCGCAAUGGGCGAAAGCCUGACGGAGCAACGCCGCGUGAGUGAUGAAGGUCUUCGGAUCGUAAAACUCUGUUAUUAGGGAAGAACAUAUGUGUAAGUAACUGUGCACAUCUUGACGGUACCUAAUCAGAAAGCCACGGCUAACUACGUGCCAGCAGCCGCGGUAAUACGUAGGUGGCAAGCGUUAUCCGGAAUUAUUGGGCGUAAAGCGCGCGUAGGCGGUUUUUUAAGUCUGAUGUGAAAGCCCACGGCUCAACCGUGGAGGGUCAUUGGAAACUGGAAAACUUGAGUGCAGAAGAGGAAAGUGGAAUUCCAUGUGUAGCGGUGAAAUGCGCAGAGAUAUGGAGGAACACCAGUGGCGAAGGCGACUUUCUGGUCUGUAACUGACGCUGAUGUGCGAAAGCGUGGGGAUCAAACAGGAUUAGAUACCCUGGUAGUCCACGCCGUAAACGAUGAGUGCUAAGUGUUAGGGGGUUUCCGCCCCUUAGUGCUGCAGCUAACGCAUUAAGCACUCCGCCUGGGGAGUACGACCGCAAGGUUGAAACUCAAAGGAAUUGACGGGGACCCGCACAAGCGGUGGAGCAUGUGGUUUAAUUCGAAGCAACGCGAAGAACC